rnacentral:tRNA from 1 species
GGCCUCGUAGCUCAGCUGGUGGAGCAUGCGCGUACAAAGCGUAGGCCGCGUCUAGGCGUGGGUUCGAAUCCCACCGAGGCUA